rnacentral:rRNA from 1 species
UGGGGAAUAUUGCACAAUGGGCGCAAGCCUGAUGCAGCCAUGCCGCGUGUAUGAAGAAGGCCUUCGGGUUGUAAAGUACUUUCAGCGGGGAGGAAGGCGAUAAGGUUAAUAACCUUGUCGAUUGACGUUACCCGCAGAAGAAGCACCGGCUAACUCCGUGCCAGCAGCCGCGGUAAUACGGAGGGUGCAAGCGUUAAUCGGAAUUACUGGGCGUAAAGCGCACGCAGGCGGUCUGUCAAGUCGGAUGUGAAAGCCCCGGGCUCAAACUGGGAACUGCAUUCGAAACUGGCAGGCUAGAGUCUUGUAGAGGGGGGUAGAAUUCCAGGUGUAGCGGUGAAAUGCGUAGAGAUCUGGAGGAAUACCGGUGGCGAAGGCGGCCCCCUGGACAAAGACUGACGCUCAGGUGCGAAAGCGUGGGGAGCAAACA